GGGGUCCCAGGAUGGGGGAUCGCUCUAUUGGUACUGGCUGCCCUGAUCUUGUUAAUCCUCCUUAUUCUCCUAAUACUGCUGCUAGUGUGGUUGUGCUGUAGGCAGAGAUACGGAAGCUUCAGCCCAUAUUACCAGAUCAACCACGGGGCAGACAUCCAAAUGUACUACACACACAGCCGCUUCGACGUGCCCAACGGCAAGCCUAAUGACGAAAUGGAUGAACCAUUGAAAAACCGACCAGGGAUGUAUGUGGUGAACAAGUGAGCUAACAACUAAGAGGUUCUGACACACAGAAGCUCCAGUCAAUUGGGUAGGAAGACCAUCUGAAAUGGCUUUUAGAAGUAAUACGCAUGGGAGCAAUGACAAUUCUGUACAAUGGUCCAAUUAUCUCUGAAGUAUCUGAAUGAAGAUCAUGGCGUUGGCUCACUGAUUGUAAUUUCAACCUGCAUUU